rnacentral:rRNA from 1 species
CUACGUGCCAGCAGCCGCGGUAAUACGGAAGGUCCGGGCGUUAUCCGGAUUUAUUGGGUUUAAAGGGAGCGUAGGCUGGAGAUUAAGUGUGUUGUGAAAUGUAGACGCUCAACGUCUGACUUGCAGCGCAUACUGGUUUCCUUGAGUACGCACAACGUUGGCGGAAUUCGUCGUGUAGCGGUGAAAUGCUUAGAUAUGACGAAGAACUCCGAUUGCGAAGGCAGCUGACGGGAGCGCAACUGACGCUUAAGCUCGAAGGUGCGGGUAUCGAACAGGAUUAGAUACCCUGGUAGUCCGCACAGUAAACGAUGGAUGCCCGCUGUUGGUACCUGGUAUCAGCGGCUAAGCGAAAGCAUUAAGCAUCUCACCUGGGGAGUACGCCGGCAACGGUGAAACUCAAAGGAAUUGACGGGGGCCCGCACAAGCGGAGGAACAUGUGGUUUAAUUCGAUGAUACGCGAGGAACCUUACCCGGGCUUGAA